AUUGAACGCUGGCGGCAUGCCUUACACAUGCAAGUCGAACGGUAACAGGUCUUCGGAUGCUGACGAGUGGCGAACGGGUGAGUAAUACAUCGGAACGUGCCCGAUCGUGGGGGAUAACUGCUCGAAAGAGCAGCUAAUACCGCAUACGAUCUACGGAUGAAAGCGGGGGAUCGCAAGACCUCGCGCGGACGGAGCGGCCGAUGGCAGAUUAGGUAGUUGGUGGGAUAAAAGCUUACCAAGCCGACGAUCUGUAGCUGGUCUGAGAGGACGACCAGCCACACUGGGACUGAGACACGGCCCAGACUCCUACGGGAGGCAGCAGUGGGGAAUUUUGGACAAUGGGCGAAAGCCUGAUCCAGCCAUGCCGCGUGCAGGAUGAAGGCCUUCGGGUUGUAAACUGCUUUUGUACGGAAACGAAAAGACUCCUUCUAAUAAAGGGGGUCCAUAACGGUACCGUAAGAAUAAGCACCGGCUAACUACGUG
rnacentral:rRNA from 1 species